UACGUAGGUGGCAAGCGUUGUCCGGAUUUACUGGGCGUAAAGCGCGCGCAGGCGGAUUGGUCAGUCUGGGGUGAAAUCUCACGGCUCAACUGUGAGCGGUCCCUGGAUACUGCCAGUCUUGAGGGGUCUAGAGGAGAGCGGAAUUCCCGGUGUAGUGGUGGAAUGCGUAGAUAUCGGGAAGAACACCAGUGGCGAAAGCGGCUCUCUGGGGAUCACCUGACGCUGAGGCGCGAAAGCGUGGGGAGCGAAC
rnacentral:rRNA from 1 species